ACAUGCAUGCGAAGUAGAGGAUCUGCACAUCCAGGCCUCCAUGAAGAUUUAUAUCAAAUAAUUUGAGAUUUGAUCUCUGAUCUCUGAUUUCACUGUGAUUCAGGUAAAGAUUUGAUCUUAAACAAGUAAAAUAUUAGAAAAAAUUUUUACAUGCAACCUGGGCAUUUUGGAGGAAAACUGUUCCCUUCCUUUCAAUUGGUAUCAGAGCAGGCCUGAAAUAUAUGCAUACAUGAUA
rnacentral:lncRNA from 1 species